rnacentral:rRNA from 1 species
UUCCAGAUUGAAUAUACCCGAUCUGGUCUGUCUGGGAAGUCAAGCAAUCUCGGGCUUGGUUAGUACUGGAAUGGGUGCCCGCUUGGGAAUACCAAGUGUGAUAAGCA